rnacentral:rRNA from 1 species
UUCGAUUCUGGCUCAGGAUGAACGCUAGCUACAGGCUUAACACAUGCAAGUCGAGGGGCAUCAUUGGGAUAGCUUGCUAUUCAGAUGGCGACCGGCGCACGGGUGAGUAACGCGUAUCCAACCUUCCCCUUAGUAGGGCAUAGCCCGGCGAAAGUCGGAUUAAUACCCUAUGUUGUAUAUUGAGGACAUCUGAUUUAUACCAAAGAUUCAUCGCUAAGGGAUGGGGGAUGCGUCCGAUUAGGUAGUCGGCGGGGUAACGGCCCACCGAGCCAUCGAUCGGUAGGGGUUCUGAGAGGAAGGUCCCCCACACUGGUACUGAGACACGGACCAGACUCCUACGGGAGGCAGCAGUGAGGAAUAUUGGUCAAUGGGCGAGAGCCUGAACCAGCCCAGUAGCGUGCCAGGAAGACGGCCCUAUGGGUUGUAAACUGCUUUUAUCAGGGGAUAAAGUGAGGGACGUGUCCCUUAUUGCAGGUACCUGAUGAAUAAGGACCGGCUAAUUCCGUGCCAGCCGCAGC